ensembl:lncRNA AC095678.2
CCCAAACUUCAGCACAACUGACUCCAUGAUGGCAGUACCAUUCAGGCCAUAAAACUCAGCAUGUAGACAGCACCACCAGCCAAAACAAAAACAAAGACCUAAUCCAUCAAUGCCCAUAGAUCUUGGAAAGUCCCUAAAUGUACUAAUCUUGCUUUUUGGCUUCUGUAGUUCCACUUCUAGCUAACUGUUCUUGUUAACUGAAGUAUGUCGAGCCAAGAUAUGGACUUUGUUCUUUAAAGCUCGCCCUGAGAAAGACUCAGUGCUACACUGGGAUCCUGACCAGGUCUUCCAGUUCAUCAGGACUGGGGAGAGAGCUCAGCAGGUGAAAGGAAACACGCGGGCAGUUGGACACCUCCAGCUAAGAUGCGGAAAGAAGCCAUUGUGUGGGCACCACUUGGCUUACCUCCUCCCAGGGGACCCCAGACCUCCAUCAAGGCAUGAGGAAGCACCAGGCUGCAACAGCUAGGGAACAGCUCUCAAACCAACUGACCCCGGUUCUUUAAACUGCAGUGUGGGGAUAGAGAGG